rnacentral:rRNA from 1 species
UAGGGAAUCUUCGGCAAUGGACGAAAGUCUGACCGAGCAACGCCGCGUGAGUGAAGAAGGUUUUCGGAUCGUAAAACUCUGUUGUUAGAGAAGAACAAGGACGUUAGUAACUGAACGUCCCCUGACGGUAUCUAACCAGAAAGCCACGGCUAACUACGUGCCAGCAGCCGCGGUAAUACGUAGGUGGCAAGCGUUGUCCGGAUUUAUUGGGCGUAAAGCGAGCGCAGGCGGUUUCUUAAGUCUGAUGUGAAAGCCCCCGGCUCAACCGGGGAGGGUCAUUGGAAACUGGGAGACUUGAGUGCAGAAGAGGAGAGUGGAAUUCCAUGUGUGGCGGUGAAAUGCGUAGAUAGAUGGAGGAACACCAGUGGCGAAGGCGGCUCGCUGGUCUGUAACUGACGCUGAGGCUAGAAAGCGUGGGGAGCAAACAGG